UACGGAGGGGGCUAGCGUUGUUCGGAAUUACUGGGCGUAAAGGGCUCGUAGGCGGCCAACUAAGUCGGACGUGAAAUCCCCAGGCUCAACCUGGGAACUGCGUCCGAUACUGGAUGGCUUGAAUUCGGGAGAGGGAUGCAGAAUUCCAGGUGUAGCGGUGAAAUGCGUAGAUAUCUGGAGGAAUACCGGUGGCGAAGGCGGCAUCCUGGACCGACAUUGACGCUGAUGAGCGAAAGCUAAGGG
rnacentral:rRNA from 1 species